UCGGAACAUGUCCAGUAGUGGGGGAUAGCCCGGCGAAAGCCGGAUUAAUACCGCAUACGAUCUKUGGAUGAAAGCGGGGGAYCUUCGGRCCUCGCGCUAUUGGGGUGGCCGAUGGCGGAUUAGCUAGUUGGUGGGGUAAAGGCCYACCAAGGCGACGAUCCGUAGCUGGUCUGAGAGGACGACCAGCCACACUGGGACUGAGACACGGCCCAGACUCCUACGGGAGGCAGCAGUGGGGAAUUUUGGACAAUGGGCGAAAGCCUGAUCCAGCAAUGCCGCGUGUGUGAAGAAGGCCUUCGGGUUGUAAAGCA
rnacentral:rRNA from 1 species